AAGAAUAGAGGCGCAAAAGCUGCUAACCUCCAGAUUUCUUCCCUGACACCCCAAACUCUUUUACAACAGAAGUGUAUCCCAAACUCCUGGCACUCUCAAAUGCUGAGAGCCAGCAGAUUCAUUUAGGAUCCAUUUGUUCUGAGAGCAUGUAUAAAAAUUAUCUUACACUGGAAGGAUGGAUGCAACAAUCUUCACUGUGAUGAAUGCAGGAGUGAAGAGGCUAAAGACAGAAGGGCGAUCUCAGGAUACCGAUGGGAACUCACAGCCUAGAAGAAAGGUUUUACAAGAAAAACUCUGAUGUCCAAAGAACUGUGAGAACCAGAAAUGAGCAUGAUCAAUUUAAAUCUGCAGUUCUCAAUUCUCCUAUUUAAUAUGUGUUUCAGCAUGCCUCUUAUGGCAUUUUACACUUGAGUAAUUUCAUUAGAUGGAUACUCUGGUGCCUUUGCCAUUAAAACAUGUUUUGUUGUAAGAUUAGGGAGCUAUUGAAAUACUAAAGUUAAGUCUCA
rnacentral:lncRNA from 1 species